rnacentral:rRNA from 1 species
UACGAAGGGGGCUAGCGUUGCUCGGAAUCACUGGGCGUAAAGGGUGCGUAGGCGGGUCUUUAAGUCAGGGGUGAAAUCCUGGAGCUCAACUCCAGAACUGCCUUUGAUACUGAAGAUCUUGAAUCCGGGAGAGGGAUGCGGAAUUCCAGGUGUAGCGGUGAAAUGCGUAGAUAUCUGGAGGAACACCGGUGGCGAAGGCGGCAAUCCUGGACCGGCAUUGACGCUGAGGCGCGAAAGCCAGGGGAGCAAAGCGGG